rnacentral:rRNA from 1 species
UGGGGAAUAUUGGACAAUGGGCGCAAGCCUGAUCCAGCCAUGCCGCGUGAGUGAUGAAGGCCUUAGGGUUGUAAAGCUCUUUUAGCAGGGACGAUAAUGACGGUACCUGCAGAAAAAGCCCCGGCCAACUUCGUGCCAGCAGCCGCGGUAAUACGAAGGGGGCUAGCGUUGCUCGGAAUCACUGGGCGUAAAGCGCACGUAGGUGGGUCGUUAAGUCGGGGGUGAAAUCCCAGAGCUCAACUCUGGAACUGCCUUCGAUACUGGCGACCUUCGAGUUCGGGAGAGGUGAGUGGAACUGCGAGUGUAGAGGUGAAAUUCGUAGAUAUUCGCAAGAACACCAGUGGCGAAGGCGGCUCACUGGCCCGAUACUGACACUGAGGUGCGAAAGCGUGGGGAGCAAACA